AGUGUCGUAGGUAACCCGUUAAGUAUCCCGCCUGGGAAGUACGGUUGCAAGACCGAAACUCAAAGGAAUUGGCGGGCACCCGCACAAGCGGUGGAGCGCGUGGUUUAAUUCGAUGGUAAUCGAAGAACCUUACCAAGGCUUGACAUGUACCUGCACGCCUCUCGAAAGAGAGGCUUCCUUCGAGGGUGGUACACAGGUGCUGCAUGGCCGUCGUCAGCUCGUGUCGUGAGAUGUAGGGUUAAGUCCCGAAACGAGCGAAACCCUUAUCCUAUGUUAUACGUGUCUUAGGAAACUGCCUCGGUGAAACGGGGAGGAAGGUGGGGAUGACGCCUGGUCCUCAUGGCCCUUAUGUCUUGGGCGACACACGCGCUGCAAUGGUCGGUACAAUGGGCAUGCCAAACCGCAAGGUGGUGCGAAUCUCAUCAAAACCGAUCUCAGUUCAGAUUGAGGUCUGCAAUUCGACCUCAUGAAGUUGGAAUCGCUAGUAAUCGCGGAUCAGCCAUGCCGCGGUGAAUACGUUCUCGGGUGUUGCACACACCGCCCGUCACGUCAUGAAGCCGGGGGUACCCGAAGGUAUCAUGUCUCUUCGGAGAGUAGUAUCGAAGGUAAACUUGGUGAUUGGGACGAAG
rnacentral:rRNA from 1 species